rnacentral:lncRNA from 1 species
AAAGAAAGAAAGAAAGAAAGAAAGAAAGAAAGAAAGAAAGAAAGAAAGCAAACAAAGGAAGGAAGGAAGGAAGGAAGGAAGGAAGGAAGGAAGGAAGGAAGGAAGGAAGGAAGGAAAGAGGGCAUUGCUUCAAAUCUGUUGGAGAUAUGUAAUUUAAAAAUCUCAUUGGAUAUUUCUAAUACACUACUAAUGAUACCUUAGAAACUGGCUCAAUGAUAGAGGGAUUUCUAAGCAGUGUAAUUUCUACAUUCGAUGAACAGCUCCAUGAAUAUGCAAUAUAAAGAAUGAUUGCAGCUAACAUUGUUUCUAAUAAGGCUUAUUCCAAUCUCUGGGUUGCUUUUAAUAAUCACAUAGUCAUUCAGAAGAUUUGUUCUCCUGCUCCAUUUUGAAGGCUGUUCUGUGCUUCAUAAAAUCAGUUCAUAUAAAACCACUGAGUUGAUUUUUCAUUUUGCCUUUUCUGGAUACCUAGGGAUACAAUUGCAACUUGUCAUUUAUUCUAUAUGCAUUUUUGAAAGAUAACAUUUUUUUGUAUUUUGGGGCUGUUGUAAAUAAAAUGCUGUAAUUACAUAGCUUAUAAACAACAAACAACUGUCACAUCCCAACCUAGAGGCUGAGAAGGCCAAGUAGAGCCAGCAGAGGUGGGUUCUAGUGUGAGCACACACUUCCUGCCUCACAGAUGAUGGUCUUGCUGUGCUUUCUCCUGUCAGAUGGGCAAAGGAUGUUCUUGGAGGCCUCUUUUAUGAGCACAAUAAGCCAAACCUGAGAGUCAGAGCCCUCAAUGUGAGCCCUUCACACAGGCUCCGCCACCACACACCCCCGUCUUGUGACUAAAUCUCAACAUAAUGGACUGGGAGAGUGGAUGGCACAAGGGUUCUGACUGUCACACCUGGGUGCGUGUCAUUCAAUAAGAGCAAUGAUGACUUGUUCCACCUAGAAAGUGCUCUGAAUAGAGAGGCAUCUCAAUGCAAUUUCUUCACCAUUACUCACUCAUCUUUUUGUGAUAUCACUUUCCUUUAUUAUCCAGAAACAUAAGUGGAGGAGGGAGAGCUACAGGGCAUGGAUCCACAGAAGAGGAAGUAGGAUAUCACUGUGAUAUAUUCUUUGUUUGUUUGUUUGUUUGUUUGUUUGUUUGUUUGAACUGAGUGUCAGAGAUCCUAGCAGGGUUCUACUCUAUGGACUGGAUGCCUCUUCUGUGAGGUCUUGAAUUCAUGGAAGUGAUUAAAAUCUGAUUUGGAUAGAUUAGCAUAUCUCAGAGAUUUCUAAUUAACUGAGAUUCUCUUCCCCUUGUCUUUUUUUCUCCCUCUUUCUUUUCAUUUUCAUUUUCAUUUUUUUUCUUGCCUUGAUUUUUGUUUUUAUUAAGUCAUUUUUUUUCUUUGUUAGGCAGAAUCUCACAUCAUAACCCCAAAUGACCUGUUACUCACCAUGUGGCCCAGCUGUCUUCAAACUCACCAGCCUCCUGCCUUAGCCUUCUAAAUGCUUGGAUUACAGGCAUGACCCACCAUAACUGGCUUUGUUUUAGUUUCAGAGAAGAUGAAACUGAUGUGCGUCAAAAAGUUAUGGAGGCUGGGAAGACCUAGAAUGUGGCAUCACUAUUUGGAAACCAUGCCGAUUACCGACCGAGCUCUCAAUGGAAAAAUGCAGUCGGCGUGAACCACGCACGAACACAGCAGAGAAAGAAGAAAACACACACCACGAGGAACCCUAAUAGGACAAUACAUUAUAAGCCUCAUGGUACAUCCACUUGGUGUGCUGGGAGAGUCAGGAUGAGGACCUGAGAAGAACAGCAGCUUGAACCUGACUUCAUUUAACAGCCCACUGCCCUCUUGCCAAGAACCCAUCACAGACCUUCCCAGAAGAGAGGGAUGAGCCUCACCUAUGAAUAAGUCCUCAGAAACUCAAAUUUGAUUCUAAUGGAUUGUUUUCUCAGAAAGACUGAGCAUGUCCCCCCACAUCUCUGUCAUUUCCCACAGUAGUAACCUCUGCAGAUGCCACAUAGAAAACAAAACAAAACAAAAAAACAUGAGGUUGGUGGGCAGAUAGGCAGGGUAUAAACAAACAGCCUUGUAACCCAGAAGCUGUGUGAUAUACAGUAAACUUCACAACACUGAAAAGAUGUCCUAUCUGUUAAAAUGGGGUAAUAACAACUACCCGAAUGUUUAGGAAUAGAACUUCAAUAAAUGAUACAUUUUAUAGUACAGCAGACCAUCCUGUAAAGGUUUCAUCCUUCACUGUGGUGAUAAAUAUCCCAAACCACAUUGAAAAGCAUUGCAUCUACAUUUAUCUACACUGUAACUGUACUGUAAAUCAUGGGGGAGGGGAGAAUCAUAAAAACACCACCUGUCACCGUGUCAUUAAAGCAAGUUGGAAGUGAUACUUACAGAAACACAGCAAGAGCACCCCCAGUCACACAGUUCAAUCUCUUAGCAAGCGUUUUCUUUCUAGCCCAGUGGUUCUCAGUUUGGAAUUUUUGGCACUGCCUAGAGAUAGUUUUGUUGUUAAAACUGAGAAAAGAGCCGGGCGUGGUGGCACACGCCUUUAAUCCCAGCACUCAGGAGGCAGAGGCAGG